rnacentral:tRNA from 1 species
GGAAUGUGGCUUAGUGGUAGAGUGCUUGCCUAGCAUGCAUGAAGCCCUGAGUUCAAUUUCUCUGUACCA